rnacentral:rRNA from 1 species
UACGUAGGUGGCAAGCGUUGUCCGGAUUUACUGGGCGUAAAGAGCGCGCAGGCGGUCGAAUAAGUCGAAUGUGAAAGCCCCCGGCUUAACUGGGGAGGGUCAUUCGAUACUGCUCGACUUGAAGGCAGGAGAGGGAAGUGGAAUUCCCGGUGUAGUGGUGAAAUGCGUAGAUAUCGGGAGGAACACCAGUGGCGAAGGCGACUUCCUGGCCUGUUCUUGACGCUGAGGCGCGAAAGCUGGGGGAGCAAACGGG